CUGCAGAACUGUGAACUGCAGCUGAGUUCACAUCAACACCCACAGGAUGAAGGACACACUCUCACUGAUACUGCUACUCCACACCAUAGCAUUGGUGAAAAGUGAAAGCCUGGAGUCCAUUCCCUCCAGUGCAGUGCUGAAGAAACCUGGUGACACCCUCAGUCUCUCCUGUAAAGGAUCUGGGUUUAGUUUUGGGAAUUAUGACAUGCACUGGAUCAGACAGCCUGCUGGGAAAGCACUGGAGUGGAUGGGUUUUAUCUAUAGUGAUGCUAGUGGCACCAGCUAUGCCAGCAGUGCCCAAGGACGCAUUGAAAUCACCAGAACCAACCCCAACAGCAUGGUGUACCUGAAACUGUCUGGUUUGAGGGCAGAGGACUCUGCUGUGUAUUACUGUGCAAGAGAAACACAGUGAAACAAACACUGAGUGGAGAUGUACAAAAACAUUGUCACUAUCUUAUAAUGAGCAAUCAUACACAUAACCAUCAGGGGGCAGUGAUGGCCCAUAGUAACAUAACAGCUGUUCAUUCAGAAACAACAAGUGCCACUAAGGACCUAACGUCCUCAAAU